rnacentral:rRNA from 1 species
UACGGGGGGGGCAAGCGUUGUUCGGAAUUACUGGGCGUAAAGGGCUCGUAGGCGGCCAACUAAGUCAGACGUGAAAUCCCUCGGCUUAACCGGGGAACUGCGUCUGAUACUGGAUGGCUUGAAUCCGGGAGAGGGAUGCGGAAUUCCAGGUGUAGCGGUGAAAUGCGUAGAUAUCUGGAGGAACACCGGUGGCGAAGGCGGCAUCCUGGACCGGCAUUGACACUGAGGCACGAAAGCGUGGGGAGCAAACAGG